GCCUGGCGUGUCCCCAGGGGACCCCAGGCUUCUAGCUGUAGCCUGGAGAAUGCCCAACUCUAUGGUCAGCUGUGCAGGCCUCACCCAAGGCUAAGGUCUUGGACACCCGUCUCUCACAGCUCCACACACACACUCUCUCACAGCUCCACACACUCACACUCAAACUCACUCCAGCCAGGGCUGCUAUCCAUCCCCCUCACAGCACGGCCGCCCUGGAGCACAUGCGGCCCUGCACAGCCGAUCAGAUCAGCGGAGGAAACCCUUGAAAAUCCUUUAGGGCAGGCCCCUGGCAGCAGCUGCCAGCAAAAUCACCCUCACGCCCCUCCCCUGCGUGGGGCCCAGGAGCCAGGCUAGGGGCUCAGCGCUCCAUCCAGGACGGCACAAUGGGGCUGUGUCUGGGACCAAAGCAGAGAGCAGACCGGAGGCAGCAAGGCCUCUGUCCGCCGUGCCGCCACCAGUACCUCAUUUCGGGUGCCCCAGGCAGAGCCCCAUCCAGAGCAGCCAGGUCUCUUUGGCCAUGAUGCCCCUGAGUGCC
rnacentral:lncRNA from 1 species